rnacentral:rRNA from 1 species
CCUACGGGAGGCAGCAGUAGGGAAUCUUCCGCAAUGGACGAAAGUCUGACGGAGCAACGCCGCGUGAGUGAUGAAGGCUUUCGGGUCGUAAAACUUCUGUUGUUAGGGAAGAACCAGUACGAGAGUAACUGCUCGUACCUUGACGGUACCUAACCAGAAAGCCACGGCUAACUACGUGCCAGCAGCCGCGGUAAUACGUAGGUGGCAAGCGUUAUCCGGAAUUAUUGGGCGUAAAGCGCGCGCAGGCGGUUUCUUAAGUCUGAUGUGAAAGCCCACGGCUCAACCGUGGAGGGUCAUUGGAAACUGGGGAACUUGAGUGCAGAAGAGAAAAGCGGAAUUCCACGUGUAGCGGUGAAAUGCGUAGAGAUGUGGAGGAACACCAGUGGCGAAGGCGGCUUUUUGGUCUGUAACUGACGCUGAGGCGCGAAAGCGUGGGGAGCAAACAGGAUUAGAUACCCUGGUAGUCCACGCCGUAAACGAUGAGUGCUAAGUGUUAGAGGGUUUCCGCCCUUUAGUGCUGCAGCUAACGCAUUAAGCACUCCGCCUGGGGAGUACGGUCGCAAGACUGAAACUCAAAGGAAUUGACGG